CAAAUCUACUGGUCCUGCAAAAAUGACAUUAAUUUGACAAACACUAAUAUAAAUGACAGAUGUUUAAUUUUAUUUUGAUGCUUUCGUUUACAUAAGUUAUACAGUAACAAAGGAAUAGUCUUUAUUGUGAUUUUGAUAAAGGCUUAGGUAAUCUCAAUGAUUUUCUUUAUCAAAAUCAGGAUCAAGGACAGAAAAAAUAUCAACAUUGUCUUCCACGUCAUCGCAAUCCUCACGACGACCAUAGGGUGCCUGACUAGGUCGUCUGGAGCGCUGUCCAGAAAUAUUUCACAUUCCAAUAGCCGGGACCGGAUCAAAUGAUGCUAUAUCUUCAGUGUGAAACAUAAUGAAUAAAAGAUCUGAUAAAACAGUUGGACGCAAUUUUGAUCGCCAAUCAUUCUUUACAAGUUUCAUCUCAGAAAACCCCCUUUCUACAUCAGCAGAAUGAGCAGGAAGGGACAAGAUUAAAU
rnacentral:lncRNA from 1 species